rnacentral:rRNA from 1 species
GACGAACGCUGGCGGCGUGCUUAACACAUGCAAGUCAAGGGGGCGGAGCAAUCCGCAACCGGCGAACGGGUGCGUAACACGUGAGCGACCUACCUCAUCGCGGGGGAUAGCCGGCCCAAC